rnacentral:rRNA from 1 species
GAUGAACGCUGGCGGCGUGCCUAAUACAUGCAAGUCGAGCGAACGGACGAGAAGCUUGCUUUUCUGAUGUUAGCGGCGGACGGGUGAGUAACACAUGGAUAACCUACCUAUAAGACUGGGAUAACUUCGGGAAACCGGAGCUAAUACCGGAUAAUAUUUUGAACCGCAUGGUUCAAAAGUGAAAGACGGUCUUGCUGUCACUUAUAGAUGGAUCCGCGCUGCAUUAGCUAGUUGGUAAGGUAACGGCAUACCAAGGCAACGAUGCAUAGCCGACCUGAGAGGGUGAUCGGCCACACUGGAACUGAGACACGGUCCAGACUCCUACGGGAGGCAGCAGUAGGGAAUCUUCCGCAAUGGGCGAAGGCCUGACGGAGCAACGCCGCGUGAGUGAUGAAGGUCUUCGGAUCGUAAAACUCUGUUAUUAGGGAAGAACAUAUGUGUAAGUAACUGUGCACAUCUUGACGGUACCUAAUCAGAAAGCCACGGCUAACUACGUG